UUCAGGCCUCCGAAGGGGCUUACCCUCUGCACUGUCAUGAACCGUUGUAUGAAUCAAAAAAUCUCAGGUGAUCUUAACUUACUGGAAUGAAGCUGUUUUCUCCUUCUCCUCACUCCUCUGCAUCUUGACCGCUUUCAAUCGUUGAUCGGCAGUAAUGUGCCGCCGAGAGAACGGAUGAUACUCCGUACACCUGAGUCCGACAUUAAUGUUGGUAGAUGGGUGUUGUAAUGGGAUUUUUAUAUAUCAAAUUGCACUUUUGGAAAUUGACGUCCAUAGCAGCGGAUAAUUUAUCUUCACAAUGUGGUGGGAAUGGAAGCAGUAAUGCGCAACGCCAAGCCAAUUGCCAACAUGUUGAGAUCAAUUGCCAACAUCUUGAUGUGUUCCUACAUGACAUGCAUACAGUUAACCGCUUCCCCACACGUAGAUUUCUAUGAGAGUAGCUGACCGAGUAUGUUGAAUUUUUACAUUUGAUCAUCACCAUCAACUUCGUGAUAGAUGAUGCAUUUACAAAACAACCAGCAAUCUUAGUCUCUUCCAUGUAGAAACGUAUAGUAAACAGAGUGCACUGCAACUUGCCCUGCCAUCCACUUCUUUAUCCCGAAUUCUACUUCCAUUUCACUCUCGUUGCUGAGAAGCUGCUGUGAUCGGUACACAUACCUCACAACACAUUUGAUGGGAAAACACACUAUCUAUAGGAAACAUCCACUUUUCGGCACUUGAGAAAGGUCUCUGCUGCCAACGCUAUGGCUGAGGUGAAGGAGAGACAAAAAAGUGUCCGCGAAUUGACGGCAGUUAAAGAAGAAACGUUCUUGAAGAGCUUCCGCAAUGAUUUCGCCAUUAGUGUCGAAGAAUUCAAAGAGACUCAGGCUGUCCAUCCAUCCCAGGAUCGCCAUGGAACGCUACAGCCUGGUUUCAUGAAAACACGGCCUCCAGGUGUGACAGCGGAGAACAAGCGUCAUAUGGCUCUGAAAGGUGCCCAGGAUUGGGACGACGAAAAAUUCCACAAUGACUCUUACAGUGCGCAUGACUCGCGUGUCGAGGAGGCUCGAAGGCGAGGGUCUCAAUUCCAAGACGUCCUCAUCAAGCCUCAGCAUAUGCUGGAAUUGGACGAGAAGAGGAAAUGGUCACGAAGUUCAUUGUUUGGAGGAUGCUUGAACGCCGGUAAAAGAGACAGUAUGCCACCGGAGAAUUCGAAGACAGGGCAAUUCUCGCAAACGAGGUCGAAAUCGUUCAUGGACAGGAGGAAGAGUAGCGUGAGUUUUAGAGAAUCUCGAAGGAAAUCAUCCUUGAAUAAUUCUAUAGCAUUCAACCGAACUUCAAUUAUGACCCAGAGAAGAGGCAAGAGUAUGUUGCAAAUUGAUCGAGAACAAACAAUCCAAGCGCGUCGGGAGUCGAACAUGGAUUCCAUAGGAACUUGCACUUAUGUUAAAGUGAGACACAUCCUCUCAGAGAAGCAGGGUUUGAUGAUGGAUGUUUAUAACCAACUUCAACGAGGGUGGUUAGUCUUCGGGCACAAAGUGCCUCCCAAGGAGUUCAGCAAAGUAGUUACUUCUAACUCUUCUCACGAUUCUUCCACUUCUUCCGAUUCAUGUAUAUCAUUAUUCAGCUUUGGAUUGAGAUGCAUUAAUGCAUUAAGUUUGAACCACAAAAGUUUACGUUCCAGCCGUGAUCAUGUCGACAUGAUGAAGUCACUGACAACAUGGCUAGCUACGAAAACAUGUAGCUUGCAAAGAAAUAUUCGGAGUGCAGGUCAGCAAAGGAUGGAGGCGACUUGGGGUGGGUUGCUCGAGCAAAACUAGGCACAGCUGGGCCCUUUCAAGAGGUUUCCUUCACCACUCCCGUUGGUUCGUGCAGCAACGUCUUCCAAUCCUCGCAAGGAUUUCAUGUAGUGCUGGUAGAAGCUAGGAAAAACUGAUCAACGACCCACUGCCUUGUCAAUGCUAAUGCUUCCAUGGUGGCAAACUCCCAAGUACCGAGCCGUACUGUGUUUGGAUGGAAAGAACGGCACAUCAAGUGGGGCAUCUGCUUGUUUUAAAGCGCCAAGGGAGUUACGUUUCAUGUUAGAUUGAAGUACGCCAGGUACCUCAAGACAUGUCGGGAAUCUAAUUCACCGUUGCUUCCACCAGCAUGCUUGUUUGAAAAGCGUUAUCUACAACAACCUGCCAUUGUAAAAAGGAGUUUUACACCAAAGAAAAUCGCAAAGGAUAAUUCAUUGUGCUAACUGCCUCAUCCAUUGAAGUAGCUUACUGCCUCUUCCCUGUGUAGGGUGCGGUACAAAACACUGUCACCUAAGUUCACCAUUUUCGCACAUCAAUUUGCACGUAACAGAGGGCGACACUUAGACGAUUCGUUUUCGACACCACUUCAGAAGUUGUCAAUCGAAAAAGAUGAAUAUCAACGUGGAAAACAAAAAGAAAAAAAGAAAAAAAACCUGAGAAGAGAAACUGUUCUUCAAGCGGCAGAAUGAGCAAGAAAAAGUUUAAAAAAAUUUGGAACAACGGUUUCAAAUAGGAAGACACACCUGCGAGUGAAAGUAAGGUGCAGCAAGAAUGAAAAAGAAGGUCAGUUAGAGUUGUGCAAAGCCCCCACCGUUGUCACCCACAUGUGAGGAAUCUUAGCGUACGUCAGCGGACCUUCUACAGUUGAAAUGCGGCAUUGGCUGCGGCCAAUAGAGAGCUUCGAGUAUGUUGAGCUCCAAGAGUUUGGGACGAAAUUCAAGUGUUGUGCAAUUGUUUACUAGUUACUGCCGGCUGAUCUUAUUUGUGAAGAAUGUGUGUUCAAAGAUU